CUACGGGUCGCAGCAGUGGGGAAUAUUGGACAAUGGGGGAAACCCUGAUCCAGCAAUGCCGCGUGUGUGAAGAAGGCCUGCGGGUUGUAAAGCACUUUCGGUUGGGAGGACUGCUUCUAGCACUAAUAUUGUUGGAAGUUGACGUUACCUUCAGAAGAAGCACCGGCUAACUCCGUGCCAGCAGCCGCGGGUAAUACGGAGGGUGCAAGCGUUAAUCGGAAUUACUGGGCGUAAAGCGCGCGUAGGCGGCUAGAUCAGUCGGGUGUGAAAGCCCCGGGCUUAACCUGGGAACUGCAUCCGAUACUGUCUAGCUUGAGUACAGGAGAGGAGAGUGGAAUUCCACAUGUAGCGGUGAAAUGCGUAGAUAUGUGGAGGAACACCAAUGGCGAAGGCAGCUCUCUGGCCUGAUACUGACGCUGUGGUGCGAAAGCGUGGGGAGCAAACAGGAUUAGAUACCCCCGUAGUC
rnacentral:rRNA from 1 species